GUGGGGAAUAUUGGACAAUGGGCGAAAGCCUGAUCCAGCCAUGCCGCGUGUGUGAAGAAGGUCUUCGGAUUGUAAAGCACUUUAAGUUGGGAGGAAGGGCAGUAAGUUAAUACCUUGCUGUUUUGACGUUACCGACAGAAUAAGCACCGGCUAACUUCGUGCCAGCAGCCGCGGUAAUACGAAGGGUGCAAGCGUUAAUCGGAAUUACUGGGAGUAAAGCGCGCGUAGGUGGUUUUGUAAGUUGGAGGUGAAAUCCCCGGGCUCAACCUGGGAACUGCCUCCAAAACUGCAUGACUAGAGUACGGUAGAGGGUAGUGGAAUUUCCUGUGUAGCGGUGAAAUGCGUAGAUAUAGGAAGGAACACCAGUGGCGAAGGCGACUACCUGGACUGAUACUGACACUGAGGUGCGAAAGCGUGGGGAGCAAACAGGAUUAGAAACCCCUGUAGUCC
rnacentral:rRNA from 1 species